rnacentral:rRNA from 1 species
GACGAACGCUGGCGGCGUGCUUAACACAUGCAAGUCGAACGGAAAGGCCCUGCUUUUGUGGGGUGCUCGAGUGGCGAACGGGUGAGUAACACGUGAGUAACCUGCCCUUGACUUUGGGAUAACUUCAGGAAACUGGGGCUAAUACCGGAUAGGAGCUCCUGCUGCAUGGCGGGGGUUGGAAAGUUUCGGCGGUCGGGGAUGGACUCGCGGCUUAUCAGCUUGUUGGUGGGGUAGUGGCUUACCAAGGCUUUGACGGGUAGCCGGCCUGAGAGGGUGACCGGCCACAUUGGGACUGAGAUACGGCCCAGACUCCUACGGGAGGCAGCAGUGGGGAAUAUUGCACAAUGGGCGGAAGCCUGAUGCAGCAACGCCGCGUGCGGGAUGACGGCCUUCGGGUUGUAAACCGCUUUCGCCUGUGACGAAGCGUGAGUGACGGUAAUGGGUAAAGAAGCACCGGCUAACUACGUG